UACGAAGGGGGCUAGCGUUGUUCGGAUUUACUGGGCGUAAAGCGCACGUAGGCGGAUCGUUAAGUCGGGGGUGAAAUCCUGGAGCUCAACUCCAGAACUGCCUUCGAUACUGGCGAUCUUGAGUCCGGAAGAGGUGAGUGGAACUCCUAGUGUAGAGGUGGAAUUCGUAGAUAUUAGGAAGAACACCAGUGGCGAAGGCGGCUCACUGGUCCGGUACUGACGCUGAGGUGCGAAA
rnacentral:rRNA from 1 species